UACGUAGGGUGCAAGCGUUGUCCGGAAUUAUUGGGCGUAAAGAGCUCGUAGGCGGUCUGUCGCGUCGGAUGUGAAAACCCAGGGCUCAACCCUGGGCCUGCAUUCGAUACGGGCAGACUAGAGUUCGGUAGGGGAGACUGGAAUUCCUGGUGUAGCGGUGGAAUGCGUAGAGAUCCGGAAGAACACCAGUGGCGAAGGCGGCCCGCUGGGCAGUGGCUGACGCUGAGGCGCGACAGCGUGGGGAGCAAACAGG
rnacentral:rRNA from 1 species